UACGAAGGGGGCUAGCGUUGCUCGGAUUAACUGGGCGUAAAGGGCGCGUAGGCGGUUCGUACAGUCAGACGUGAAAUUCCUGGGCUCAACCUGGGGGCUGCGUUUGAUACGUGCGGACUUGAGUGCGGAAGAGGGUCGUGGAAUUCCCAGUGUAGAGGUGAAAUUCGUAGAUAUUGGGAAGAACACCGGUGGCGAAGGCGGCGACCUGGUCCGAUACUGACGCUGAGGCGCGAAAGCGUGGGGAGCAAACAGG
rnacentral:rRNA from 1 species